AACCGGAGGUUGUAAGCCCAGUCAAUCUUGGUGAUGAGGGCAGGAGUUCAGGUGUCCACAGUGGGAACGCAGAAGGGGUGCCGCUGAGCUAGAGCCCUCAGGCACAGUGACUGGGACAGCUCUGCUGUGACUCAGUGUGAGAGACACUGGGUUGGAUCAAGGACCUCUGGGGAAGGUGAAUCACAUCCAGCAGUACAGUGCCACCCCACCCAAGCCAGAAUGGCCUGCGUUGUGGAAUCUAGCAGAAAGGUCAUCAGAGCAGGUCUGAAGAUGUCUGUCCUGGUCACGGGCCACUAGGAAGCUCAUUGAACUCUGUACACAGUGUCUUCCCCUUCUAUCAAUUACUAAAAAUCAACUGUGUGUCAGACCCUGGUCUUGCACUGCCCAAAAGAGAGGACUCUGACACAGUCCUGUGAUUGAAGAGCUCAGUGUCUGGUGGAGGACAGAGACAUGUAAAAGGGGACAGCACAACCAGUUGGGUGAGCACUAUGGGCCAGGUGAGCUGUGAAGAUCCUGGGGACCCACUGCUGGUUCCUGGAUCUUUCAGGGGUCCCCCUGUGAGCCAUCAGAUCUCACAGGCUGAAUAGGCUUUGCCUUUUCCCAGAGUCUGAAGAAGACAGAGGCAGGGUUUCUGCAAAUCUAGGCUGUUGAUCAAACAGCACUGGCUUACA
ensembl:lncRNA